rnacentral:tRNA from 1 species
GGAGGGUUCGCAUAGUGGUCUAGUGCGCACGCUUGGAAAGCGUGUGAGGCGUAAGCCUCCGAGAGUUCGAAUCUCUCACCCUCCG